rnacentral:rRNA from 1 species
UACGUAGGGUGCAAGCGUUGUCCGGAAUUAUUGGGCGUAAAGAGCUCGUAGGCGGUCUGUCGCGUCGGAUGUGAAAAUCCAGGGCUCAACCCUGGACCUGCAUUCGAUACGGGCAGACUAGAGUUCGGCAGGGGAGACUGGAAUUCCUGGUGUAGCGGUGGAAUGCGCAGAUAUCAGGAGGAACACCGGUGGCGAAGGCGGGAUCCUGGGCCAGUACUGACGCUGAGGAGCGAAAGCGUGGGGAGCAAACAGG